UUUAAUUCGAUGCAACGCGAAAAACCUUACCUGGUCUUGACAUCCAUAGAAUUCCCUAGAAAUAGGGAAGUGCCUUCGGGAACUAUGAGACAGGUGCUGCAUGGCUGUCGUCAGCUCGUGUUGUGAAAUGUUGGGUUAAGUCCCGCAACGAGCGCAACCCUUAUCCUUUUUUGCCAUCGGUUCGGCCGGGAACUCAAAGGAGACUGCCAGUUAUAAACUGGAGGAAGGUGGGGACGACGUCAAGUCAUCAUGGCCCUUACGACCAGGGCUACACACGUGCUACAAUGGUACAUACAAAGAGAAGCAACUCUGUAAGGACAAGCAAAUCUCAUAAAGUGUAUCUUAGUCCGGACUGGAGUCUGCAACUCGACUCCACGAAGUCGGAAUCGCUAGUAAUCGUGAAUCAGAAUGUCA
rnacentral:rRNA from 1 species